GACCGCGUAGCUCAGUUGGCAGAGUAUUGGACUAGUAUUCCAAAGGUCGUAGGUUCGAUUCCCACUGUGAUAA
rnacentral:tRNA from 1 species